AUCUGGCUGGCUCAGUCGGGGAAGAGCAUGUGACUCUCGACCAUGGGGUUAUGAGUUCGAGCCCCAUGUUGGAUG
rnacentral:tRNA from 1 species